GACGAACGCUGGCGGCGUGCUUAACACAUGCAAGUCGAGCGAUGAAAUCCCUUCGGGGAUGGAUUAGCGGCGGACGGGUGAGUAACACGUGGGCAACCUGCCUCAAAGUGGGGGUUAGCCUUCCGAAAGGGAGAUUAAUACCGCAUAACAUUAGUUUUUCACAUGAAGUACUAAUUAAAGGAGUAAUCCGCUUUGAGAUGGGCCCGCGGCGCAUUAGCUAGUUGGUGAGGUAACGGCUCACCAAGGCCACGAUGCGUAGCCGACCUGAGAGGGUGAUCGGCCACAUUGGAACUGAGACACGGUCCAGACUCCUACGGGAGGCAGCAGUGGGGAAUAUUGCACAAUGGGCGAAAGCCUGAUGCAGCAACGCCGCGUGAGUGAUGAAGGCCUUCGGGUUGUAAAGCUCUGUCUUUGGGGACGAUAAUGACGGUACCCAAGGAGGAAGCCACGGCUAACUACGUGCCAGCCGCCGCAGUAA
rnacentral:rRNA from 1 species